rnacentral:ncRNA from 2 species
CUCCCGCGUCGCGACUGGCGUGUUCAGGUGGAAUCGACCACCGGGGAGCGACUGUCCGGCGGCGUCGCGCGCCUGGGUACCGCCG